rnacentral:rRNA from 1 species
UACGUAGGGGGCAAGCGUUAUCCGGAUUUACUGGGUGUAAAGGGAGCGUAGACGGCGGGGCAAGUCUGGAGUGAAAGGCCGGGGCCCAACCCCGGGACCGCUCUGGAAACUGCCCGGCUGGAGUGCGGGAGAGGUAAGCGGAAUUCCUAGUAUAGCGGUGAAAUGCGUAGAUAUUAGGAGGAACACCAGCGGCGAAGGCGGCUUACUGGACGAUGACUGACGCUGAGGCUCGAAAGUGUGGGUAUCAAACAGG